UAAGGCUGAGGCGUGAUGACGAGGCACUACGGUGCUGAAGCAACAAAUGCCCUGCUUCCAGGAAAAGCCUCUAAGCAUCAGGUAACAUCAAAUCGUACCCCAAACCGACACAGGUGGUCAGGUAGAGAAUACCAAGGCGCUUGAGAGAACUCGGGUGAAGGAACUAGGCAAAAUGGUGCCGUAACUUCGGGAGAAGGCACGCUGAUAUGUAGGUGAAGUCCCUCGCGGAUGGAGCUGAAAUCAGUCGAAGAUACCAGCUGGCUGCAACUGUUUAUUAAAAACACAGCACUGUGCAAACACGAAAGUGGACGUAUACGGUGUGACGCCUGCCCGGUGCCGGAAGGUUAAUUGAUGGGGUUAGCGCAAGCGAAGCUCUUGAUCGAAGCCCCGGUAAACGGCGGCCGUAACUAUAACGGUCCUAAGGUAGCGAAAUUCCUUGUCGGGUAAGUUCCGACCUGCACGAAUGGCGUAAUGAUGGCCAGGCUGUCUCCACCCGAGACUCAGUGAAAUUGAACUCGCUGUGAAGAUGCAGUGUACCCGCGGCAAGACGGAAAGACCCCGUGAACCUUUACUAUAGCUUGACACUGAACAUUGAGCCUUGAUGUGUAGGAUAGGUGGGAGGCUUUGAAGUGUGGACGCCAGUCUGCAUGGAGCCGACCUUGAAAUACCACCCUUUAAUGUUUGAUGUUCUAACGUUGACCCGUAAUCCGGGUUGCGGACAGUGUCUGGUGGGUAGUUUGACUGGGGCGGUCUCCUCCUAAAGAGUAACGGAGGAGCACGAAGGUUGGCUAAUCCUGGUCGGACAUCAGGAGGUUAGUGCAAUGGCAUAAGCCAGCUUGACUGCGAGCGUGACGGCGCGAGCAGGUGCGAAAGCAGGUCAUAGUGAUCCGGUGGUUCUGAAUGGAAGGGCCAUCGCUCAACGGAUAAAAGGUACUCCGGGGAUAACAGGCUGAUACCGCCCAAGAGUUCAUAUCGACGGCGGUGUUUGGCACCUCGAUGUCGGCUCAUCACAUCCUGGGGCUGAAGUAGGUCCCAAGGGUAUGGCUGUUCGCCAUUUAAAGUGGUACGCGAGCUGGGUUUAGAACGUCGUGAGACAGUUCGGUCCCUAUCUGCCGUGGGCGCUGGAGAACUGAGGGGGGCUGCUCCUAGUACGAGAGGACCGGAGUGGACGCAUCACUGGUGUUCGGGUUGUCAUGCCAAUGGCACUGCCCGGUAGCUAAAUGCGGAAGAGAUAAGUGCUGAAAGCAUCUAAGCACGAAACUUGCC
rnacentral:rRNA from 1 species